AGCAGCGUAGCUGAACAUCUUACGGAUGGCCCAGGGCUCCAAAGGCUCGUUUCCUAAGUGAGAGAGAGCCUGGCUGAAGCUGUAUUACCAUUCAUUCUCCAGCCUCCGAAGUCUCAAAGCAUCACUUCCACCAUACUCUAACUGUCAAGACAAACACAAAGGCCCAGAAACUGCCAGACUGUCUUCUGAAGUGGCUAUAAUAUUUACACUCCCAUCAGCAGUGUAGAAGGGGUCUCACUAUGUUGUCUGGAGUGCUGUGGUGGAGUGGAGUGGCUAUUCACAGAGCCUGUUCUGCUGGGACACAGAAUCACUUGCUCCAUCUCAUACAUUGAUGAUGAUUAAUUUGUAUGUGUACCUUCCAAAAAAGAUGGUUGUGUUUGAAUGGAGGCCUUCUGGACAGGAAAAUAAUCACAUCCUUCCUGAGAUAAUGAGCACACAAUUGCCUGGAUACCUGAAGGAAUGGAGACAGCGGCAGAAAACACUGCAGAGAGGUGGAAACAUCCGUUAAUAUUUUAAAAUCCCAUUACUGCUACCAACAAUAAUAAUGGAUGCAUAGAAAUAGAUCUGGAUUAGCUGAGCUUGAAACAGUCCAUCUCACACACACACAAAAGAAUUUCAGAUACAGUGAACCCACAUGUUGAAGCUUUCUAGUAUAAUAAAAAUUUCAACUGUUCUGUUGAAUCAUCUGCCUGAUUGGAGGCUACAGAAAAGAUGUCAUCUUAGGAGUGCUUGCUCUGAGUGAGGCUCAUCUUCAAAUCUGAAUGACCACAAGGAGAUUUGAUUAUACAUGUGAACACCUCAGAAGGCACAGCCCACCCAGAAGGCAGACAGAAGAAGCUGCCAGGAAGACUGUGAAAUCUUCAUGCCCAAGGAUCCCUAAAAUUAGGAGCAACAACCACUUGGCUCAGACGGUUUAUGGAGGCAAAGGUUUGGAUGGGAUUAGAGAUUUCUAAAUGUGAGUUCGUGUCCUCUGCCAGACCACCUUACUUCCACCAUUCCUCAGCAAAUCAAGAAAAACAGGAGAAAAGACAUGCCUUUCCAUAAGUUAAAUCUAUUCUGUUUUAAUUCUAUAUUAUAUCUGCUGUACAACUUCUUUUGUUUGUAACACCAUAUUGUUGCUAGUAACUGGAAAUUAAUUUUCACAUGCCUCAGCUUAGAAAAAUAAAAAGCAGCCCUGCAUCAAUCCC
rnacentral:lncRNA from 1 species